rnacentral:rRNA from 1 species
UAGGGAAUCUUCCACAAUGGACGCAAGUCUGAUGGAGCAACGCCGCGUGAGUGAAGAAGGUUUUUGGAUCGUAAAGCUCUGUCGUUGGUGAAGAAGGAUAGAGGUAGUAACUGGCCUUUAUUUGACGGUAAUCAACCAGAAACUCACGUCUAACUACGUGCCAGCAGCCGCGGUAAUACGUAGGUGGCAAGCGUUGUCCGGAUUUAUUGGGCGUAAAGCGAGCGCAGGCGGAAGAAUAAGUCUGAUGUGAAAGCCCUCGGCUUAACCGAGGAACUGCAUCGGAAACUGUUUUUAUUGAGUGCAGAAGAGGAGAGUGGAACUCCAUGUGUAGCGGUGGAAAGCGUAGAUAUAUGGAAGAACACCAGUGGCGAAGGAGACACUCUGGUCUGCAACUGACGCAGAGGCUCGAAAGCAUGGGUAGCGAACAGG